rnacentral:rRNA from 1 species
AGAGUUUGAUCCUGGCUCAGGACGAACGCUGGCGGCGUGCCUAACACAUGCAAGUCGAACGGACCCAGCCCGGUAGCAAUAUUGGGCGAAGGUUAGUGGCGAACGGGUGAGUAACGCGUGAGCAACCUGCCUUUCAGAGGGGGAUAACAGCUGGAAACAGUUGCUAAUACCGCAUAACGUAUUUAGGUGGCAUCAUUUGAAUACCAAAGGUUAAAUCCGCUGAGAGAUGGGCUCACGUCUGAUUAGCUAGAUGGUAGGGUAAGGGCCUACCAUGGCUGCGAUCAGUAGCCGGUCUGAGAGGAUGAACGGCCACAUUGGGACUGAGACACGGCCCAGACUCCUACGGGAGGCAGCAGUGGGGAAUAUUGGGCAAUGGGCGGAAGCCUGACCCAGCAACGCCGCGUGAAGGAAUAAGGCCUUCGGGUUGUAAACUUCUUUUAUUAGGGACGAAGGAUGUGACGGUACCUAAUGAAUAAGCCACGGCUAACUACGUGCCAGCAGCCGCGGUAAUACGUAGGUGGCAAGCGUUGUCCGGAUUUACUGGGUGUAAAGGGCGCGUAGGCGGGAAUGCAAGUCAGAUGUGAAAUCCAUGGGCUCAACCCAUGAACUGCAUUUGAAACUGUGUUUCUAGAGUGAUGGAGAGGCAGGCGGAAUUCCUAGUGUAGCGGUGAAAUGCGUAGAUAUUAGGAGGAACACCAGUGGCGAAGGCGGCCUGCUGGACAUCAACUGACGCUGAUGCGCGAAAGCGCGGGGAGCAAACAGGAUUAGAUACCCUGGUAGUCCGCGCCGUAAACGAUGAAUACUAGGUGUGGGGGGACUGACCCCUUCCGUGCCGGAGCAAACGCAAUAAGUAUUCCACCUGGGGACUACGGUCGCAAGACUAAAACUCAAAUGAAUUGACGG